AUUGAACGCUGGCGGCAGGCCUAACACAUGCAAGUCGAGCGGAUGAAGGAAGUUUGCGCCUGGCUUCUGCGGCGGGCGGGUGAGUAAUGCCUAGGAAUCUGCCUGAUAGUGGGGGAUAACGUCCGUAAAGGAGCGCUAAUACCGCAUACGUUCAGAGUGAGAACGUGGGGGAUCUUCGGACCUCGCGCUAUCAGCUGAGCCUAGGAGGGAUUAGCUAGUUGGUGGGGUAAAGGCCUACCAAGGCGACGAUCCGUAACUGGUCUGAGAGGAUGAUCAGACACACUGGAACUGAGACACGGUCCAGACUCCUACGGGAGGCAGCAGUGGGGAAUAUUGGACAAUGGGCGAAAGCCUGAUCCAGCCAUGCCGCGUGUGUGAUGAAGGUCUUCGGAUUGUAAAGCACUUUAAGUUGGGAGGAAGGGCAGUAAGUUAAUACCUUGCUGUCUUGACGGUACCAACAGAAUAAGCACCGGCUAACUUCGUG
rnacentral:rRNA from 1 species